rnacentral:rRNA from 74 species
UCACAAACGACUCUCGGCAACGGAUAUCUCGGCUCACGCAUCGAUGAAGAACGUAGCAAAAUGCGAUACUUGGUGUGAAUUGCAGAAUCCCGUGAACCAUCGAGUUUUUGAACGCAAGUUGCGCCCGAAGCCUUUUGGCCGAGGGCACGUCUGCCUGGGCGUCACGC